rnacentral:rRNA from 1 species
AUGAACGCUGGCGGCGUACCUAACGCAUGCAAGUCGAACGGAGGAAUCAGGAAGUAGCAAUACGAAUGAUUUCUGAGUGGCAAAACGGGUGAGUAACACGUGGGUAAUCUAGCCCGAGGUGGGGAAUAACGGCUCGAAAGGGUCGCUAAUACCGCAUAAGGUCGAGGGGAGCGCAAGUUUUCUUGGACCAAAGUUCUCGCCAGAGGACGCCUUGGGGGGGAGCCUGCGGUCGAUCAGGUAGUUGGUGAGGUAACGGCUCACCAAGCCGCGGACCGAUAGCUGAUCUGAGAGGAUGACCAGCCACACUGGGACUGUGACACGGCCCAGACUCCUACGGGAGGCAGCAGCGAGGAAUAUUGCGCAAUGGGCGCAAGCCUGACGCAGUAAACGCCGCGUGCGGGACGAAGACCUUCGGGUUGUAAACCGCUUUUUCACCGGGACGAGUGAGGACGGUACCGGUGGAAUCAGUCCUCGGCUAACUACGUGCCAGCAGCCGCGGUAAGACGUAGGAGGCGAGCGUUAUCCGGAUUCACUGGGCGUAAAGCGCAUGUAGGCGGAUGGACAAGUCCUAGGUUUAAAGCCCCUCGCUCAACGGGGGGAGGUUCUGGGAGACUGUACGUCUGGAGGGCAGCAGAGGAGCGUGGAACUCCCGGUGUAGCGGUGGAAUGCGUAGAGAUCGGGAAGAACACCAGUGGCGAAGGCGACGCUCUGGGCUGCAUCUGACGCUGAGAUGCGAAAGUGUGGGGAGCAAACGGGAUUAGAUACCCCGGUAGUCCACACCCUAAACGAUGAACACUAGGUGUGGGUGGGAAUGCCAUCCGUGCCGUAGCUAACGCAUUAAGUGUUCCGCCUGGGGACUAUGAGCGCAAGCUUAAAACUCAAAGGAAUUGACGGGGGCCCGCACAAGCAGCGGAGCGUGCGGUUCAAUUCGAUGCGACACGAAGAACCUUACCAGGGUUUGACAUGGUCGUGGUAGGGAAGGGAAAACUGGACCGACCCGCAAGGGAGCGAUCACAGGUGAUGCAUGGCUGUCGUCAGCUCGUGCCGUGAGGUGUUGGGUUAAGUCCCGCAACGAGCGCAACCCCUGUUGCCAGUUACAAGUGUCUGGCGAGACUGCCGCACACUGUGCGGAGGAAGGCGGGGAUGACGUCAAGUCAGCAUGUCCUUUAUAUCCUGGGCGACACGCACGCUACAAUGGACGUGAAUAAAGCGUAGCCAAGCGGAAACGCGGAGCAAAUCGCACAAAAAGCGUCCUCAGUUCAGAUUGGCGGCUGCAACCCGCCGCCAUGAAGUCGGAGUUGCUAGUAAACGCGCGUCAGCCAUAGUGCGUUGAAUACGUUCCCGGGCCUUGUACACACCCGCCCGUCACGUCAUGGGAGUCGGCAACACCUGAAGUCGGUGACCCCAACCGUCAGGAGGGAACUGCCGAAGGUGUGGCUGGUGACUGGGACG